AACGAACGCUGGCGGCAUGCCUAACACAUGCAAGUCGAACGAAGCCUUCGGGUUUAGUGGCGCACGGGUGCGUAACGCGUGGGAAUCUGCUUCUUGCUUCGGAAUAACAGUGGGAAACUACUGCUAAUACCGGAUGAUGUCUUCGGACCAAAGAUUUAUCGGCAAGAGAUGAGCCCGCGUAGGAUUAGGUAGUUGGUGGGGUAAAGGCCUACCAAGCCGACGAUCCUUAGCUGGUCUGAGAGGAUGAUCAGCCACACUGGGACUGAGACACGGCCCAGACUCCUACGGGAGGCAGCAGUGGGGAAUAUUGGACAAUGGGGGCAACCCUGAUCCAGCAAUGCCGCGUGAGUGAUGAAGGCCUUAGGGUUGUAAAGCUCUUUUACCAGGGAUGAUAAUGACAGUACCUGGAGAAUAAGCUCCGGCUAACUCCGUGCCAGCAGCCGCCGUAAGAC
rnacentral:rRNA from 1 species